AAAAUUCAAAAUAUGGGCUUCACUUUCAAAAUUCAAUCCAUUUUUCUCUCAACUCUCUCUCUCUAAAACUCACUUUCUCUCUCUCAAAUCCAUACCUCUCUCUGAGCUUAUCAACUUCAACUCUCUCUAAAACUCACUUGAAUCUGGACAAUAAAUCAUCAAAACAAACACCUAGAGCCGGUAUCUAAACAAACAGGGUAUUUGUCUUCGGUACACUGUCGUCUGAGGGUUAGAGAUAGAGAACCAGAUCGGUAUCUAGGGUUUCAAGCCGUGGCUUUGAGGGAAGAGUAACGGCAGCAAGCAAUGGCCUCUGGCCGUCUGAUCUACGGUUUCAAGCCAGAAUGGAAACAAAACCAGUUAUAAUGACCGGAAAACCGAGCAUCAAUCUGCUCCACAAGCACCGACUGAGACAUAUUGUGCGGCAAGUGCCGAAGCACAACCUUAGUUCGAUCCAAUGUACCUUACAUCCGUACGACACAAUCAGAAACCACCAAGCCCUAAAUGAAGUAUUCAAUCAAAGAAUUCAAACCCUAGGCGGAUGCAAUUUGUCAAAUCUCUCGGUUAAUUACAUCUUUUCCCCAAUGAUUGCUCGAUCUGUGCUCAAUUUUGAAGGAAAACAAGUGUCGUAUGCAUGCGAGUUGGGAGAUGGAGAUGGAUUAGAGGAGAAGAUUGGGGAAAUUGAAGUUGUGUGUGUGCAUAUAGAUGAAGUUUGUUGGAGUGUUUACGUAUGGUUUUGGUGGAGAAUUUGCAGAAUGGAAGAAAGGCUGAUCCAGAACUUGAAGCUACCAGGCAAAGAAGAAUGCAAGAGCUUAUGGCUCAACGUGGUGGUGGAAGUCAGCAAACACCUGAGCAGCAAACACCGGACAGAGGAUUUAAGCUUGGAUUCAAAGAAUUCUCCUCCUUUCGAAAUUAGGUAAAAGCAAUGGCUCUCUCUCGAUAAUAUUAAAUCAAAAAGUUCUAAUCUCGGAUGGGGAAAAGAAGGACACUAUGCUACUUGUAAAAUUGCUGAGGUAAAAUUAUUUGAUGCUUUUUGUUAUGGAAUAGAUGAAGUAGUAAUGUUCAGUGAACAUGCUGUUGAUGAAACGGGUUUUUAAAUCCUAUGAAGAACGAUCCGGUUAACAAUGGUUCGAAGAUAAUCAAAUCUAAAAGCAUGGUCAAGUAAUCUCUCUUCGCUAUUUAGAAAAGCGACGUGAACGGUUACGACUUCCUGUUAAAAUCGACACUUUUUUUCUCUCGAAACCCUUUGCUUUUCGAUGUGUAUUAUGACCGAAUUAAGCCCAAGACUGACCGGUUAAGUUUUUAUGCGUCAGUGAUCGACUUCAAUGCAUUUUGGAUCGAAAUGAAAGGGUUUAUAUCGAAAACGAGCCAUUGAUUGUUGCUAAGCUCUUCAGAACGAGAUAAUUUGCAAGUUGUUAUGCCGAAGACGACUUUCUUUCACUUAUUCAGAUGCCACAACAAGAUCAAGAAAACUCUUGAAAAACAACAGUCAGGUAAAAGCUAUGACUUGAUUCGACAGUAGACCUGUUGAUGAACACAGGAAGUGUUCCUUUUGGGUGGGAACAGAAUCCAGGAAAACCGAAGAAUAAACAGGUUAAAACCAAUGAAAGCGCUCUGAGUCUUCCAAAACUUCCUCUAGUAUUGAAAACAAUCAGACUGAUCAACAACAGGCUGGUGGUAAUUACACCAAACAGGAUACAAAGAAGCAUACGGUGCAUGAUCAAAAGCAGACUUCACAUUCUAAGGGAAAGUGCGAUGCUAAGAUUAGACAUGAGUGAAUACAUGGAGAGACAUACAAUCAACAAGCUAAUAGGUUCACCACCAGGUUAUGUAGGGUGUGGUGAAGGUGGGACCCUCACUGAAGCGAUCCGUAAACGCCCUUUCACUGUUAUCCUUCUCGAUGAAAUAGAAAAAGCCCAUCCCGAUAUCUUCAACAUUCUUCUUCAGAUCUUUGAAGAUGGCUACCUCACCGAUUCUCAGGGUCGUAGAGUAUUGUUUGAGAAUGCAUUAUAAUUCUAUCGGAUUUAUGCUUGACGAUGAUGAGUCAACAUCUUCUUAUGCUGGAUUGAAAUCGACUGGGAAGCCUAUAGAGAACAUAAGUUUAGUCAUUUUGAAACAUUAUAUGCUGGCGGCUAGACUGUGAAAGUGGAGAAAUUGGUCCAGAAUAACUGUGGAAAAGUUGUAUGAAAAUGGAGAUUAAGUUUGUAAAUAUGUGGUAAAUAUGUUAAAUUGGUGUGUUGGCUUGAUGAACAGAGUCCACCAGAACAGUAAACAACAUUGCAUUAGAUAUAUUUUAAGUAUAUGUAUAUAUUGUUUUCUUUGUAUGUAGUUAUUCUGGUUGUAAUGUUGUUAUAUAUUGUGAGUAAUGAAUCAAUUCAAUUCAAGAUGAA